rnacentral:rRNA from 1 species
GGCUCAGACAGCCAGGAUGUUGGCUUAGAAGCAGCCAUCAUUUAAAGAAAGCGUAAUAGCUCACUGGUCGAGUCGGCCUGCGCGGAAGAUUUAACGGGGCUAAGCUAUACACCGAAGCUGCGGCAAUAUGACUUGUCAUAUUGGGUAGGGGAGCGUUCUGUAAGCCGUUGAAGGUGCAUUGUAAAGUGUGCUGGAGGUAUCAGAAGUGCGAAUGCUGACAUGAGUAACGAUAAAGGGAGUGAAAAACUCCCUCGCCGGAAGAUCAAGGGUUCCUGUCCAACGUUAAUCGGGGCAGGGUAAGUCGACCCCUAAGGCGAGGCCGAAAGGCGUAGUCGAUGGGAAACGGGUUAAUAUUCCCGUACUUCUUAUAAUUGCGAUGGAGGGACGGAGAAGGCUAGGUGAGCCUGGCGACGGUUGUCCAGGUCCAAGUAUGUAGGCUGAUGAAUUAGGCAAAUCCGGUUCAUCUUAAGGCUGAGAUACGAUGUCGAGCUACUACGGUAGUGAAGUCAUUGAUGCCAUGCUUCCGGGAAAAGCUUCUAAGCGUCAGAUUAUAAGAAAUCGUACCCCAAACCGACACAGGUGAUCAGGUAGAGAAUACCAAGGCGCUUGAGAGAACUCGGGUGAAGGAACUAGGCAAAAUGGUACCGUAACUUCGGGAGAAGGUACGCUCCUAGC